CAGCCGCCGCGGUAAUACGUAGGUGGCAAGCGUUGUCCGGAAUUACUGGGCGUAAAGGGCGUGUAGGCGGGGGGACAAGUCAGAUGUGAAAUACCGCGGCUUAACUGCGGGGGUGCAUCUGAAACUGUUCUUCUUGAGUGUCGGAGAGGAAAGUGGAAUUCCCAGUGUAGCGGUGAAAUGCGUAGAGAUUGGGAGGAACACCAGUGGCGAAGGCGGCUUUCUGGACGAUAACUGACGCUGAGGCGCGAAAGCGUGGGGAGCAAACAGGAUUAGAUACCCUGGUAGUCCACGCUGUAAACGAUGGAUACUAGGUGUAGGAGGUAUCGACCCCUUCUGUGCCGGAGUUAACACAAUAAGUAUCCCGCCUGGGGAGUACGGCCGCAAGGCUGAAACUCAAAGGAAUUGACGGGGGCCCGCACAAGCAGUGGAGUAUGUGGUUUAAUUCGAAGCAACGCGAAGAACCUUACCAGGGCUUGACAUCCCUCUGACUGGCAUAGAGAUAUGCCUUCCCUUCGGGGCAGAGGAGACAGGUGGUGCAUGGCC
rnacentral:rRNA from 1 species